GAUGAACGCUGGCGGCGUGCCUAAUACAUGCAAGUAGAACGCACAGACUAUACGGUAGCUUGCUACAUGUUAGACGGUGAGUUGCGAAUGGCAGAGUAAUGAGUAGGUAACCUGCCUGGGAGAGGGGCAUGACUACUGAACACGUUAGCUAAUAUCGCAUAAUAUUGAUUAUUGCAUGAUAAUUGAUUGAAUGAUGCUAUUGCAUCACUACCAGCUGGACCUGCGUUGUAUUAGCUAAUAGGUGAGGUAACGGAUCACCUAAGGGAUAGUACAUAUCCGACCUGGGAGGGUGGUCGGCCACACUUGGACUGAGACACGGCUCAGACUCCUACGGGGAGCAGCAGUAGGGAAUCUUCGGCAAUUGAGCAAAGUCUGACCGAGCAACGGCGCGUGAGUGAAGAAGGUUUUCGGAUCGUAAAGCUCUGUUGAAAGGGGAGAACGGGUGGUGUAGUGGAAAGUUCACACUGUGACGGUAUCUUACCAGAAAGGGACGGCUAACUACGUG
rnacentral:rRNA from 1 species